rnacentral:rRNA from 1 species
UGAGGAAUAUUGGUCAAUGGGUGCAAGCCUGAACCAGCCAUCCCGCGUGAAGGACGACUGCCCUAUGGGUUGUAAACUUCUUUUGUAUAGGGAUAAACCUACCCUCGUGAGGGUAGCUGAAGGUACUAUACGAAUAAGCACCGGCUAACUCCGUGCCAGCAGCCGCGGUAAUACGGAGGGUGCAAGCGUUAUCCGGAUUUAUUGGGUUUAAAGGGUCCGUAGGCGGACUUAUAAGUCAGUGGUGAAAGCCUGUCGCUUAACGAUAGAACUGCCAUUGAUACUGUAAGUCUUGAGUAUCUUUGAGGUAGCUGGAAUAAGUAGUGUAGCGGUGAAAUGCAUAGAUAUUACUUAGAACACCAAUUGCGAAGGCAGGUUACCAAGAUAUAACUGACGCUGAGGGACGAAAGCGUGGGG